UACGUAGGGUGCGAGCGUUAAUCGGAAUUACUGGGCGUAAAGUGUGCGCAGGCGGCCGAGCAAGUCGAGUGUGAAAGCCCCGGGCUUAACUUGAGAAUUGCGCUCGAAACUACUUGGCUGGAGUGUGGCAGAGGAAGGUGGAAUUCCAGGUGUAGCGGUGAAAUGCGUAGAGAUCUGGAGGAACACCGAUGGCGAAGGCAGCCUUCUGGGCCAACACUGACGCUCAUGCACGAAAGCGUGGGGAGCAAACAGG
rnacentral:rRNA from 1 species